GACGAACGCUGGCGGCGUGCUUAACACAUGCAAGUCGAACGGUGACCCAGGGCUUGCCCUGGUGAUCAGUGGCGAACGGGUGAGUAACACGUGGGCAACCUGCCCCUGACUUCGGGAUAACUCCUCGAAAGAGGAGCUAAUACCGGAUACGACCACUUCGGACAUCCGAUGGUGGUGGAAAGUUUUUCGGUCAGGGAUGGGCCCGCGGCCUAUCAGCUAGUUGGUGGGGUAAUGGCCUACCAAGGCGACGACGGGUAGCCGGCCUGAGAGGGCGACCGGCCACACUGGGACUGAGACACGGCCCAGACUCCUACGGGAGGCAGCAGUGGGGAAUAUUGCGCAAUGGGCGAAAGCCUGACGCAGCGACGCCGCGUGAGGGAUGAAGGCCUUCGGGUUGUAACCUCUUUCAGCAGGGACGAAGCGAAAGUGACGGUACCUGCAGAAGAAGCACCGGCUAACUACGUGCCAGCAGCCGCGGUAA
rnacentral:rRNA from 1 species